CCAUGUCCUUCAUGCCCCAGGACGCAGCACAGCACGCAACCGUCUGUCCCACGUGCCCCUCCCUAGUGCCUGGUGGGAGCCAGCUGUCUGCUGCUGCACGCUCACCGCCGCACUGCACACUGAUGCCCAAGCACAGGAGCUGCUGACAGCUGUUGCAUGAACAGCUUGGGCUCAGAUGUCCCCCUGUCCAGCCAGGUAGCCCACCUGGUGGAUAAGGGAAAGGCUGUUGAUGUGGCCUACCUAGACUUCAGCAAAGCCUUUGACACUGUCUCCCACAGUAUUCUCCUGGAGAAUGUGGCAGCCCAUGGCUUGGACAGGUACACUCUUUGCUGGGUAAAGAACUGGUUGGGGGGCUGGACCUAGUGAGUGGCAGUGAACAGAGUUAAAUCCAGCUGGUAACUGGUCAUGAGUAGUGUUCACCAGCAGUUGGGAGGAAGUGUCGAUCUGUCUGGUGGCAGGAAAGCCCUACAGAGGGAUCUGGACAGGCUGAAUUGCUGGGCUGAGGCCAACUGUAUGAGUUUUAACAAGACGAAACGUCAGGUCCUGCACUUUUAUUACAACAACUCCGUGUAUGCUACAGGUUUGGGGCAGAGAGGCUGGAAGGCUGUGUGGAGGAAAAGAACCUGUGAGUGUUCAUCAGCGCUUGGCUGAACAUGAGCCAGUGGUGUGCCCAGGUGGCCAAGUUGUGCCAGGGGAGAUUCAGGAUAGAUAUUAAGAAAAGUUUUGGCUCAGAAGGAAUGGUGAGGUAUUGGAAUGAGCUGCCCAGGGAAGUGAUGGAGUCACCAUCCCUGAAGGUUUUCAAGAAAAGAUUAGAUGUGGCACUGAGGGACAUGGUUUAGUGGGCAUGGUAGGGAUGGGUUGAUGGUUGGACUAGAUGAACUUAGAGAUCUUUUCCAACCUCACUAAUUCCUUCAUUCUGUGAUUCUAUGUGGUGUGCAGUGGGACCAGGUGAUGUGGUACAGCAGGACCAGGUGACAUUGUGCAGCAGGACUGGGUGAUGCAGCGCAGUUGGACCAGGUAAUGUGGUGUGCUGGGACCAGGUGACAUGGUGUGUUGGGACCAAGUGAUGCUGUGCAGAAGGACAGUGCAGGAAGGAUUCCCUCAGGGUGGUUCUUGUUUGAGGUCAGACCAGAGACUCAGCUUUGUUGCUGGCUCUGCUGCUCCCUCAGUUGUCCUGACUUCCACAAUGCACAGUGGCACACUGUAUGUUACAUGCAGUGUAUGUAUGCUGUACAUUUGAGUCUCACUGCAUCUUGCUGUAGUUUACUGCUGUUAGCGUUUAUAAAGAAAUGAAGUAUUUACUGCUUUAAUACAUGUCAGCCUUAAGAGUCUCAUAAAAAUUCUCUAUUGAUUCAGUUCUUUACUAAACUAUUACAUAAAACUGCUAUAAAGUUCCAUAAAGUUUUUAAUUACAGGGAAGCUUGUAUAAGUCUGUAUUUGGCUGUUACAGCAUUUUGAAUACAGCCAUUGGGAACGAUGAAGGCAUCUUGUUACACACAGUCUUAAUCUCCUGGACGCGUUCUGAGACAGACAGGUUGCUGUGCCUGAUCUCAGUGCUUUGGGAAAAUAAUGACAAGGAGUCUUAUAAUGAAUAAAAUGACUGGCAAGUAAGACUGGAAAUGAGAUCCGUUAAAAUCAAGACAGAAUAUUCUCAUACAGCUCUCAACAACAUUUAGAAGUAGCCCUUAAAUGCAAUGGUUCCUCCACUAAACUGUCCACAUGUUUUCUUGGUUUGCCAAAUGCAGAAACACCCCAGACUCCUCAGAGCCUCAGCAGGUUGCUGAGAUCUCCUUAACUGCUGACUGAAUGACAGCUUUGUUCUUGCAACGAUGUUACCCUUACACAGGAAUUUCUGAAGAUGUUUAUGUUCUCUGCCAUCAGGCUGACAGCUGAAAUUGUGAGCAUUAGGCAGCUGCAAGAAUCUGCAUAAUCUGAAAUUUGUGCUCCUGAUAAGCAGGAUCCAUUAGCAGGUGAGAUCUAAGUGUGGUCAGCUUGCUUGGUAGUGGGUCUGCAUGGGACAUACAACACUUGCAGGGACUGGCUGAACAGUCUGUUGUACAGAUAAUUCGUUCUCAGGCCUGAACUCGGGGAAAUAUGCAAUAUGUGAUAAAAAGUAAAAAUCACUCAGUAAUAUGCAACUUCUGAGGCAGAAGGGAGUUCUUUAAUGUGUAUGAGGUGGUCAUUCCCAGGGAAUAAGCUAUGAUUGCUGUAAGCCCACAUGCAUCACUUCUAUCUUAGCACUAUAGUGGUGGCUUACUGCUAUUUAUAUCGCCUUUUAAAAGCAUCAUAGUUCUUCACAUUUGCAAUAUAUAUACAGCUCCAUCCAAUCACUCUCAAACACAACUGUGCACACUGUGAAAAUGAAACUUGUUUUUGCACGUGUGUGCAGGAAAUUCAUGUUUGCAGUUGCCCACUUUGGAGGCUGAACAGUGAAUUCACCCUAGCAGAUCUUUAUGGCUACUAUAUAUCCUAUUAUUCUUGAAUGCAGCAUGUUUUUAUUUUCUUCAGAAGCAAGCAAGGCUGACUUUGGGCGAGUACAGGCUGUGUUCAGGGUAUGGAAAUGUUUUCCAGCACAGCCUUCUGCGUACAGCAUCCCAGGAGACAUGAGCUUGGGUGGCCAGGGCAGGACAAUGGCAGUGGGCACCCACAGAUGCCCCUGCUUGGGUGAGGAACAGCUGCAAAAUCAAGCGCAAAGUGUUGGAAAUAUCCGAAAGCAGUGUUACAUCAUUUAUGCCCUAUUACCCGACGCUUAUCUUUUCCUCCCCUGGUUCCUCAUUGGCUGAGUACUUCAGGUUCACAAUCUUCCCGACGUUCAACUAAACAUAAAGAUACUGGUUGAACAUAAAUUGUUGCUAGCUAAACAUGUAUAUUGCUAAUUAAUUAACUUCUAACACUUGCUUACUCAGCACUUGGUCAUUAUUUCUGGACACCUGCUCAUCCUUGGAUAGAGGUAAGUGUGGAAGGAGGACAGAGGGGGGCAUCCUGAUGCCUGCCUGUUGUAUCCCAACCUACUCACAGAGUGAGGCAGUUUGGCCUUGUGUGGAGGCCCUGGCUUCUUUGAUGUUUGACAAGUCUCCUUUUCUUUUGCUGAAGGUCUCUUAUCCAAACAGAACAGCCUUACAGCAUGCUUUCUAGUCCAUAAUACUAUUUCCAUACUAUUCACAACUAUUACAGUUUUACAAGUGAGAAUUAAUCACAUAAUUCAACAACUAUAUUUCUAAAAUAUGUUACUGAAAUAUAUGGUAUUUCUACUUUUUCAAACUAGCUGUUUCUAAGGGCAAGUUACAAAAUACAUUGGGCUCUACUUCUUUAGAUCAAUUCCCCUUUUUCGAUAUCUAAUGCAGAAACAACAUUCAAUUCCUACAAAAGUCAGCUCACCAGCAGGGGCUAUUCUUACUGAGACAAAAACACGUGUUAAAAAUCUCUUUUAGAUGUGAGGAAAACAUCAUGUGAUUGUCUUUGCAACACCUGCAUCUGGAACGCCUGACGCGAACCACAAAAUGGCAGCUCGAAGACAAGGUGCAGAAAAAAAUAUUUUUGUUUUCUCUUUCCUGUUACAUUAAGCUUGAGUCAAAGUCAAACUCCCAGGUGAGAGAACGGAUCAGAGAGCAGCCUGCAUGCUGAAAUCCCAAAGAAAGUUCUCUCAACACCUGCAGAUGUGUCCCAGUCUCACCAGGUUGAUGUGGGUAGGCACUUCUCUCACAUUUCAUCUUUGCCAGCCUCCACAGAGUAAGAGUCUGUCUUCAUUAUCCUCAAACAAUCCCAAGCCUCAGAGCAAUGCUGUGGCUUGGUCCCUGCAUCAAAUCUACCUUCUGUCCAGCAGUUUAGCAGGCAGGGUGUUGCUUAGGAUGAAGAAGACCCAGAUUCAGCUACUGCUUUUGUUGUACUGCAUAAGUUGAUGUGUUUGGGCUAUCCUGGGCUGUGUAAGGACCCUCAAUCCCUUCCACUCAAGCUGUUCCACUUUGCCUGACAUAAUUAAAUAUUAAUUGGGCUAGUCUGAGAGAGCAAAUGACUUUUUAUAGCCUGGCAACUAGGCCACUCAACCAGGAGGAAAACUGAAGUCCUAGCAAUCAUUUUACAACUAGAAACACACAGCUGUAUUUAAGCAUGAAUGUUAGAUUUUUGAAAGCAUUUGGGUGGUGCCUGUUUGUUUACUACACUGAGCACAUCUGAUGAUCAACCCAUCUACCUGAGUUCCUAAAGUAAGAACAUCUGCGUUAAAGAGUAAGAUCCCCUUCAAAACAAAUCCAAACAAAAAAAGCCAACCUACCUAGUUGAGCUAGCUUUGAAGAAUUUGAGACUGAAGCUUAGCUAGAUCUGGUGUGCAGUAGGUGAUUCACUCUGAAUGCACCUUUCCCAAGAAAUUGUAACCAGUGGCUGCAAAUCACUGCCGUGUUACCUGGCUUGAAAAAAGAGGGCUGCUGCUUCUGAAAGCCCUGUUGGAAAUGCAGUUCAAGACAAGCCUUUUCACAAGCCUCCACGAAGAAAAAAUUACACUCUGCCACAAGAUUUAAGCAUACCUUUCCUGCUAGUGUAAGUGAUUGUCUGUUGGACUAAGGGACUUGCCAAGGUGGUUCUGAUGUGCUUGUGCCAGGCACUGUUGGCUCGGAACCCACCAGGCAUGGAGCAUAGGUCUCCUCAUUCUUGGGGCUGCACAGACUUCUCUGGAGAAGGGAGGAGUUUGUAGCCCAAGUGACAUGUCCUGCAUGUGCAAGCCAGCACAGUUCAGUUUCGCUGCAGUGGAACCACGUGCCUGUUGAGGACAUGCUUUCACUUCCUUGCAAGUUGCAAAGCACAAGCUUUAGUAUUACAAAGCAGGUAGACACAACAAGCACUCCUGCAGGACUUUGCAAUGCUGAAGCACAGGCUUUUUUGAAGAAGAGAUGGCCCGGCAGCCCCUGUGUGACCCAGCAGCAUGAACACAAGGUGGAGGCCAGCAGAUGGCUGUGGAUGGAGCAGGAGUGAGCGGAGGAGCCUGGCUUGUGUGCACGCGCCCGCAGGUUGAGGGCAGGGCAGGGAGCAGCGCGCCCCAAGCAGAACUCCCAAGCAGCACUGGCUUUACAUAGUUUAAAUAACUGAACAAGCAGUGAUGAAAAAGAAAUGAUUCUAAACAUUUUGUAAAAUCUAGCUAUUAAACAUCAGUGGGCUUUUUUACUGUCAGUAUCUUUUGUCUGCAAAGCAUGUAUUUUGUUUGUUCUAAAAUUGCAAUAUCAAUUACCUCUUCACUGAAAAAUAUUCUUGUUUCUAAUGAAAUGCAUAAAAAUAUAAUUCUUCUGGUUAUUCUAAAAUGCUUACAGUAGGUGAAAGAAGACAAUAUUUUUGUUUAUGAAAUUAAAUUCUGUGAUGUCUGUCUCUAAAUUAAAAGCCUGUGAUCCUUGAAAGAGAGGGGAUUUUGUUCUUCACUCCCCAAAAUGAACUGCUCUCCAUACAGAAGUUCUAGGCUUUUUCAAGCAUCCUGUGAAUGCAUUAUGGCCUUCAGCUUUCUCAUUAUAAAAAUCUGACAGUAAAAAAUAAUGCUUAGCCCAAGUUAUUCUUAGCAUUUGAGAAAUGCACAUUCUAGAAUCAAAUUAAAUGCUGACUUUGUGAUUCCUCUCUGUAAUAACAUGUUACUGCGUUUAAAUAGAAUUUGAGGAGGUAUUUGCAGAUGGACAAAAUUACGUGUCUAGCUUUUUUUUUUUUCUUUUGUUACAGAGGUUCUUCUUUAAAGAUUCAUAACAAGAAAUACCUGAAUAAUUUACAUUGCCUUAAUUCACUGGGCAGGAUGGUUAAGGUAAAAAAGACCACAGUCAUUCAGGCAACAGAAAGAAUAUGUUCCAGAGAAAAAAAAAAAAAAGAAGCUUAUUAAAGCACUCUCUUUGAAUAGCAGACUUUGUGUA